UUCCACUCUGCCACAGUGUUUUCCUGCAGUCGACCAGACCCAGCAGUAAAGUACAGGGAGGCGAUUGACCUGGGGACUCCUGGAGGGUGGAGGGCAACAGGCUAGAUUUGUCCUGUUGGCCGCAAGAAAUGGUCUGCAAUGCUGACUGUGUGAUCAGCAAUGUUGUGGCAAAAUGGCCUGGCUCAGUCCAUGACUCCAGAAUCUUUCGGGCCUCUGAAAUCUAUCAGUGCCUAUCACAAGGUGAAUUCUCUGGUGUGUUGCUGGGAGACAGGGGUAUGGCUGCCAGCCUUUUCUCCUGACACCUUUCACAGACCCCCAGGAAGCACAGCAGGCCUACAACCAUGCCCAUGCCAGGACCAGGGCCAGAGUUGAAAUGACCUUUGGCCUCCUGAAGGCACGCUUUCACUGCCUUCACAAAUUAAGGGUCAGCCCUGUUAGGGCAUGUGAUAUUACUGUGGCUUGUGCUGUCCUCCACAAUGUGGCCUGCCUGAGGAAGGAGAGGGCCCCCAGAGUGCCACCAGCCAUGGACUGGGACAAUCCGGCAAUCUUCCCUGAUGACGACAGUGGUCGGCUGCUGAGGGACCAAUAACGUGUUGAAUUAUUUUAGUUAGUAUGUGUGCUUUCAAUUUUGGUUAAAUAUGUCUUGCGGUGGCAGAGGAAUUUGG